GCAUUGGAGGCUCAGUGGUAUAAUCCCUCGCCUUCCAUGCUGGAGACCCAGGUUCGGUUCCUGGCCAAUGCA
rnacentral:tRNA from 1 species